rnacentral:rRNA from 1 species
AUGGACUGCGCAAACAUGAACGGUCCAAGGCAUCCUUGUACAAUGAUUAUUUGGACGAGGAGAUGGAUCAUCCUUGACUUCUACGCUUGGGGUGUCCCAGUUGCUUUCUUCUACUUCAAUCGCUUGUCCGAGCUCCCAGUUCACAAGACAGGCGAGGGUCUGCUCCUUAGCCUGCUGUCUACCUUCUUGUCACCCUUGAGAUGGAUAUUAUCGAAGUUUGUUGAGGGCUACUACAUUUGGGCAGUGCCCAUGAGGAAGCAUGUCAUCGUGCAGGAACACAGCUUCUUCCAAGCUUUGAGCUCAUGGCUUAUUGCAAUAAUGCCAGACAAAUUCUACGACAAGUUGGAGCAAGGAAGCAUUAUUCUCAAGAAAGCAAAAAAAAAGGUUAUGUAG